rnacentral:rRNA from 1 species
CCUACGGGUGGCAGCAGUGAGGAAUAUUGGUCAAUGGGCGCGAGCCUGAACCAGCCAAGUAGCGUGCAGGAUGACUGCCCUACGGGUUGUAAACUUCUUUUAUAAAGGAAUAAAGUGCGGCACGUGUGCCUUUUUGUAUGUACUUCAUGAAUAAGGAUCGGCUAACACCGUGCCAGCAGCCGCGGUAAUACGGAGGAUCCGCGCGUUAUCCGGAUUUAUUGGGUUUAAAGGGAGCGUAGAUGGGUUGUUAAGUCAGUUGUGAAAGUGUGCGGCUCAACCGUAAAAUUGCAAUUGAUACUGGCAGCCUUGAGUGCAGUUGAGGUAGGCGGAAUUCGUGGUGUAGCGGUGAAAUGCUUAGAUAUCACGAAGAACUCCGAUUGCGAAGGCAGCUUACUAAGCUGCCACUGACACUGAGGCUCGAAAGUGUGGGUAUCAAACAGGAUUAGAUACCCUUGUAGUC